UUUUUAAAGAAAAUAUAACUUAUUCUGCUUUGUUAAAAAUCAAAUUUUAAAGAGCAGCUUAAAAACAAGAAGGAAGAAAGGGGGAAUAAUAAAAGCCAAAAACAGGUGAGAACAAAUUGGGCACUGGAGAAGUUCAGAAUUGACCAGUUUAUCUUCCAUUGAGAUUGGGUUGCCACAUAUUCAACAAAUGUUUAUUAAAUGAUCCAUAUCCGAAAUUCUAGUACAAGGGUCCUCAGGGCUGCAACUUCUGUUGAAAGGCAUGUAGAGUUCUUGUUCUUAUUCAUUAAAUCCAAUUUGUUUCCUCUCUUUCUCUUUUGUUGAUCGCAAAUUCUGUUAAGGAUGUUUAUGGAGGAUGCAUUGAAUGGCCUUUAAGUAAUUCCAAGAGACUAGAUAGAGCAGCUCCAACCACAAAUCUCUGCAAAUUUUGAUCCCUCAUUAUUCAUCUAUAUUUUAUUUUAUUUUUUCUCUGCUUAAAUAUAUCCAGAAUCAUCAAUGAAAAUACAUUUCAACUACCAGAAAUUGACCACCACUUGCACUUUUAUCAUUUCAUACAGAGUAAUGAGAUGAUACUGAUGUUUUCCUGUACACCCAGCUUUACUGAUGUCUAGCUUACUUGCACGAAACUGCAGAUAUAAGGUCAGUUAAAGCAAAGAGACAUGCUCGUAAUUAGAAAUCAUACUUGAAACAACUCUUUUGGAUCAUGCAACUCCUUUGGAUCAUUACUGGAAGCAAAACAUGAACAUUUCAAGUCUACAUUGAAGUAUCUUGCCUAGAAGCUGUGCAUAUACAACUAAUUAUCAUAGACUUUAUAAAGUUUAUACAUGACAGUUGAAGACUCCAAAAUGUUGGUAUAUGCCUGUGCAACUCCAGCUUUAUAGGCUAUUGUGCUUGCUCACCUUGAAGAAAAGAAAAACAUAUCAAUUAGUUAAUGCAUUGCAAAGGAUUAAUGCAGUUUUGAGACUUCAGUUUUUCAAUCACUUAUAUACCAAAAUGUUGCGGUUAAAACUGCAUCAUAGCAAAAAUAUGUAGGACUUGCAGAGAAGUAACCAUAAAAUGAAGAAGACUGAAUAAAAAUUUCCACCAAAUCCUUUAUUUCAUAAAACAUUAAAACUUGAUUUCAGUUUUAGUCACUGCUAGUAGUGAAGCCCCUCACUGACUCCCAAACUUUGACACAUAUAAAGGUUGAUCACCAGUCCUUUGUUGGAGGGAGGUAAAAAUACAAAAACAUCCAGGUCAAUCCAGCUCUAGGUGAGAAAAUCAGAUUAGGGGUGGUCAUUAAUAUCUUAAUGAUAGGAAAAAAAAUCAAGGUUUUCUCCUCAGACAAGAGGAUGUCAGAGAAGGAGGAGUUCUUAGAUGUAUAAACUGUUUUGCCUUCUUAUGAGACCGAGGAUACUUUCAAAGUUUACAAGUAAACUGGAAAAAAUCCUCAAAUUUUUCCCAGGUCUACCGUCCUAAGUUCCAACAUAUGUAGAAGAACCAAUGCAUCAAUAAAGGACAUCAAGCUGCAAAAUUAGCAAAUUAAAAGUAUCUUAGGAAGGCAGAAUAAAUUCUUGCGCAAGUCAUGCUCUUUAUGCUGGAUAUCUGAAUGCUCAACAAGCAAAAUAGCAGGCUAAGGCAAAGAACAGAAGAAAGCCACUCACUAAUCAGCUAGUUUGGUGCUCUCUAAAUACGAAUCUAAACUUUGAAGAGCCAUUGUUGAAUAUACUUCCAACGUUUAUAUCAAUUCCUCAAUAUAGACAUGUCAAAUAUAGAAAAAUGCUUCUUGGCACUUCUAUAAGCCAUAGUUUUGAAGAGAAUUUUACAUCAAAUUCCUGUUGCACCUCCUAGAUGAUAGAAAUGCUCAAAACUUCCAGAAAUAAGGCAAUACCACCAAGACGACUGACUAUUAGGCAAUUGUGUGUGCCUGGGUGGUGUGCACUGUAUAACGGAUGGAGGCUCGUUAAGACACAAGCAUACAGAGCUGCAAAUGAACAGAGUACAGGUGGUGCAGGAAAGUGCAGAGAUUCAAGAACAUGCCAUGUUAGGAUCAAGUAUCACAAUGAUACAGAGGAGGAUUAGAGUAACAAAGACAUUAGAGAGAAACACCAGGAGAGAGUGGAUGCAAAGAGCCAAUAGAUACCUACCUCAAGUUUAUGAGAAGCAUCUAUAGGCAAGGCUAUGUGUGGCUAAGCAUGUGUUCAUACAUUAAAAGUAAAAAAGCUUGGACAUAUUUUCAUUGCAUUUCUCUUUCUUAGAAACACAGCAGUUUCACCAAUUUGACUUGUUUCUUCGUAGAGGCUUCACGCCUAUUUGCUUGGUCUUUUGUACAGGUCAGCUAUUAUUGAUUGACCUUGUCAACUAAGUGAAGCACUGAUUGACCUCAGCCUCCUAGCUCUCUUGGCCCACAAUCUACAGAAGUGCAAACUUGAGACGUCGUGACAUGAUCAGUGCAUUGAUCCAUGUAAUGCCCAUGUCCCGCAGUUUAAUUGACUAUUAGGUGGACAGGGGAAGGAGCUGGCAUGAUUCUAUUUUAACAAAUUUAGAAGGUGAAGUGUGAUUAUUUCCAACUUACUAUCGGUUUCCUCCAGCACCGGUGUAGAUGAGUCAACUGAGAAUCCCAACUUUAGCAUGACUUCUUCCAAACGAGUUACAUCUGUCAAGUACAAGUAACCAACCUACAAAAUGUUUUGCAAUUAGAAUCCAGCCAAGAACAGAUUUUUAUAUCAUGAUUGAGGAGUUUCUCAA